rnacentral:rRNA from 1 species
AGGGUUUGAUCCUGGCUCAGGACGAACGCUGGCGGCGUGCUUAACACAUGCAAGUCGAACGAAGCAUUUUAAUGGAAGCCUUCGGGCAGAAGAUAAAAUGACUGAGUGGCGGACGGGUGAGUAACGCGUGAGCAACCUGCCCAUAAGAGGGGGAUAACAGUUGGAAACGACUGCUAAUACCGCAUAAGACCACAUUACCGCAUGGUAGAGAGGUCAAAGAAAUUCGCUUAUGGAUGGGCUCGCAUCCCAUUAGGUAGUUGGUAGGGUAAAAGCCUACCAAGCCAACGAUGGGUAGCCGACCUGAGAGGGUGAUCGGCCACACUGGAACUGAGACACGGUCCAG